CCUACGGGAUGCAGCAGUAGGGAAUCUCCGGCAAUGGACGAAAGUCUGACCGAGCAACGCCGCGUGAGUGAAGAAGGUUUUCGGAUCGUAAAACUCUGUUGUUAGAGAAGAACAAGUAGGAGAGUAACUGCUCUUACCUUGACGUUAUCUAACCAGAAAGCCACGGCUAACUACGUGCCAGCAGCCGCGGUAAUACGUAGGUGGCAAGCGUUGUCCGGAUUUAUUGGGCGUAAAGCGAGCGCAGGCGGUCUUUUAAGUCUGAUGUGAAAGCCCUCGGCUCAACCGAGGAAGGUCAUUGGAAACUGGAGGACUUGGGUGCAGAAGAGGAGAGUGGAAUUCCAUGUGUAGCGGUGAAUGCGUAGAUAUAUGGAGGAACACCAGUGGCGAAGGCGACUCUCUGGUCUGUAACUGACGCUGAGGCUCGAAAGCGUGGGGAGCAAACAGGAUUAGAUACCCCAGUAGUC
rnacentral:rRNA from 1 species